rnacentral:rRNA from 1 species
UACGUAGGGGGCAAGCGUUGUCCGGAAUCAUUGGGCGUAAAGAGCGUGUAGGUGGCCCGUUCAGUCCGCCGUGAAAGUCCAGGGCUCAACCCUGGAAUGCCGGUGGAUACUGCCGGGCUGGAGUCCGGAAGAGGCGAGUGGAAUUCCUGGUGUAGCGGUGAAAUGCGCAGAUAUCAGGAGGAACACCAAUGGCGAAGGCAGCUCGCUGGGACGGUACUGACACUGAGACGCGAAAGCGUGGGGAGCAAACAGG